GGUACAGGAUUCAUAGACCUUCUUAGAGAGAAAAAAUCGAUCAUGAGAAAGAAAGUAGAGAGAGAAUCUUCGUAUCCUUUAGAAGAGUCGAUUAUGAUUAAGAUCAUCAGAGAUCAUAUCAAGAUGACUCAAUAUGGAUUAACUAUAAUUAGAUGCUAUAAAUUUCAAAUAAAGAUUGGACUGGGAUCCAACCUACUGCACGA
rnacentral:lncRNA from 1 species